UGAGGAAUAUUGGACAAUGGGCGCAAGCCUGAUCCAGCCAUGCCGCGUGCAGGAAGAAGCAUCUAUGGUGUGUAAACUGCUUUUGUACGGGAAGAAACACUCCUACGUGUAGGAGCUUGACGGUACCGUAAGAAUAAGGAUCGGCUAACUCCGUGCCAGCAGCCGCGGUAAUACGGAGGAUCCAAGCGUUAUCCGGAAUCAUUGGGUUUAAAGGGUCCGUAGGCGGUUUAAUAAGUCAAUGGUGAAAGCCCAUCGCUCAACGAUGGAACGGCCAUUGAUACUGUUAGACUUGAAUUACAAGGAAGUAACGUGAAUAUGUAGUGUAGCGGUGAAAUGCGUAGAGAUUACAGGGAAUACCAAUUGCGAAGGCAGGUAACUACUUGUGAUUGACGCUGAUGGACGAAAGCGUGGGGAGCGAACA
rnacentral:rRNA from 1 species